UAUAAUAUAGCAAAUUAGUGCAUUGAUUUUAAACAUCAAAUAUAAAAAACAAAUUGUUUUUUUAUUAUAA
rnacentral:tRNA from 1 species